GGACUUUUUUUUGUAUAAUUUUUGUUGAUUUAUCGAUCACCAACAAGAGAAAAAUAUGACUAAUACGACUCUCCUCAGAAUUGUUUUUCAUUAGCAAUAGUUUAUUUUUGCCAACAGAUAAAAAUACGACUAAUUUCUAUUUUUUUCCAAUAUUUUUCCUAAAACAGUCGUACAACUAUCCGCAGUAUUAAACUUUUUUUCGUUUUUUAAAUCGUAUAUUAUAGUUUAUUUUUGUUUUAUAAUGCUACGAUUAUCAAUCUAUCGUGUACAAAAAUGUAAUAAACGUCGAAUUUUUAUCGUAGCUUUGUACUGUCGAAGCAUU